UCUUGGUGGCUCAGAUGGUAAAGAGUCUGCCUGCAAUGCAGGGGACCCAGGUUCGAUCCCUGGGUCAGGAA
rnacentral:tRNA from 1 species